AAAUUGAAGAGUUUGAUCAUGGCUCAGAUUGAACGCUGGCGGCAGGCCUAACACAUGCAAGUCGAACGGUAACAGGAAGCAGCUUGCUGCUUUGCUGACGAGUGGCGGACGGGUGAGUAAUGUCUGGGAAACUGCCUGAUGGAGGGGGAUAACUACUGGAAACGGUAGCUAAUACCGCAUAACGUCGCAAGACCAAAGAGGGGGACCUUCGGGCCUCUUGCCAUCGGAUGUGCCCAGAUGGGAUUAGCUAGUAGGUGGGGUAAAGGCUCACCUAGGCGACGAUCCCUAGCUGGUCUGAGAGGAUGACCAGCCACACUGGAACUGAGACACGGUCCAGACUCCUACGGGAGGCAGCAGUGGGGAAUAUUGCACAAUGGGCGCAAGCCUGAUGCAGCCAUGCCGCGUGUAUGAAGAAGGCCUUCGGGUUGUAAAGUACUUUCAGCGGGGAGGAAGGGAGUAAAGUUAAUACCUUUGCUCAUUGACGUUACCCGCAGAAGAAGCACCGGCUAACUCCGUGCCAGCAGCCGCGGUAAUACGGAGGGUGCAAGCGUUAAUCGGAAUUACUGGGCGUAAAGCGCACGCAGGCGGUUUGUUAAGUCAGAUGUGAAAUCCCCGGGCUCAACCUGGGAACUGCAUCUGAUACUGGCAAGCUUGAGUCUCGUAGAGGGGGGUAGAAUUCCAGGUGUAGCGGUGAAAUGCGUAGAGAUCUGGAGGAAUACCGGUGGCGAAGGCGGCCCCCUGGACGAAGACUGACGCUCAGGUGCGAAAGCGUGGG
rnacentral:rRNA from 1 species